GGCCUUUGAGCUUGCGGGGCAGGUGGCGGAACCACUGAGCUAAAUCCCUGGCCCCAUGUUUGGGUUCUUAGAAGGCAUAAGACUGUCCUUUUCUAAAAUGUCAGCAUCUUGGGAGUAAGAGGAAAGGGAGGAGGAGCUAUUUAGAGAGUAAAGACCUGACAGGUGAAAGCAAUGUUGACCCUGAAUUGUUACUAGGAACAAAAGAACUGCAGUUGCAAAGGACAUACUAGGAGCAAGGUGCACCGUGUGACUGGCUGUCAUGUUUCAGCUGGAGGCAUGGACCAGGUUGUGGGUUGCAGCCUGUGGUCUUCUUGGGUACUGUUGUAUAUGUGCUGUCAAAGCGAGCACAUGGGUACUGUUGUAUUGUGCUAUCUACAGCUCACUUCAAAUGGCUCAGCAAAGUACAGCAUGUCUAUAGAGAGAAGGUAACUGAUGGAAAAGUUACUUCAAAAUUUAAAAGCAGGAAAGCUCUUCAGGGUGCAAGAGCUUUGGAAUCCAGCCUUUACUGUAGAUCUGGGGACUUGCCUCGUCCCCUGUCAACCUCAGGGAGGUGGCCCCAGUGUGCUGAGAAGUAUCUUUCUUUUCUGACCCUAUACUCCUUUGCCAUACAGAGUUUCCAAAUGAAGAAAGUAACUUCCUUCAGAAGGAAGUGAGAAAUGACUUCUGUUAAUAUGCAGAAAGCACUGUGUGUUGUUUCAGGUCCUGGGUGCCCCAUCAUUCCGCAUGUUGGCCUGGCACGUUCUCAUGGGGAACCAGGUGAUCUGGAAAACCAGAGACGUGGACCUGGUCCAGUCAGCAUUUGAAGUUCUUAGGACCAUGCUGCCUGUAGGCUGCGUCCGGAUCAUCCCGUACAGCAGCCAGUAUGAGGAGGCCUACCGGUGCAACUUCCUGGGGCUCAGCCCGCACGUGCAGAUCCCCGCCCAUGUGCUAUCCUCAGGUACAUGCUGCCCACUGCAGGGCAGGCUGGGAGGGUCCUACACCUCAGCCCAGAGGUGAAACUGGAUCUCAGUCAUGGGUUUUAGGAUGGAGCCUGCUGUCCUUGAGACCGGAGGAUCCAUGUGUAGAACCAAUUUUCCUAGUGGCUUUAGGCCUCCAUUUUCUGCUUCAGAAUGGGUGGGGUUGCCUCACAGGGGCUGUGGUUCUCAGAGGGUAGGAGGUCAUGGUCCUGGGGGUAGAGGGUCCAUGGAGGACAAUAGAAAUAGGCAGCUGGAGAUCCACUUUCUGGUGAGUCUACCUCAGACUAUAAGUCUUGCUGGGCUUAGAGACAAGAACAGUGUGGUCAUGAUCCAGGAGUGUUGCUGGCUGCCUUUUCUUGGUGGUCUCCUGCCCACUUCUGGUCCUUGCCAGGUUUUCCCUCCUUGUGUGUGCCACUCGUGAAUAUAGUUGGGGCCUACUUCAUAGUAGCUCCUUCAUGGGCAGAACCAUGAAGUGUCAGCCCUUUGUCCUUGGCUUGGGGAGGCUUAGGAGCCAUCCUGGAUGUAAUUCUGGUCUUGUAGUCAGGUCAGUGGCUCCCGUGCAUGUCAGUUAGGAGGGGACCAUGCUCAGGCCUACAUGCUGCAGGAGAGCUGGCAGAGUGUGGCCACCACAGCUCUGAGCUGGUCUUCAGCACCAGGCCAGCACCUGAGACCCACAGGGCAGGGCCUGUAAUCUGGGUAGUGUUACAGAAUUCCAGAGAUGGGCUUGAAAUUCCUAAUAUCGCUAGCUAUAUGACCUUGGCCGGAUUACUGAACUUCUCAGAGUCUGUUUCACAAUUAUAAAAUGGGGUGACAAGACUGCCAUUAUAAUGUUGCUUAGUAUGACGUGAUGGAUGUAUGAUAAUUUUAUAUUGUAAUAUAAAAAUUUUUGGUUUAACUGAGGCAAAAGCUGUCCAACAGCUCUGUUUUAACAUGGCAAAAAGUUUUCAACAUAAGAGCAUCUCUUUCAGGAGACCUCUGCAUGGUGGUGGCUCCCAGCUGAUGUACAGUACUGUGGUGUGGCAGGAUGGUGUGGGCUUAUUAGAGGUGAAACGAGAGUGCUGUAUUUUGCCUUGCCACAGAGUUUGCAGUUGUCGUGGAGGUCCACACAGCCACGCGCUCUGCCCUCCAUCCAGUUGGAUGUGAGGAUGACCAGUCUCUCAGCAAGUAUGAGUUUGUGGUGACCAGUGGGAGCCCAGUGGCUGCAGACCGAGGUGGGUGCUGUUGCUGGGGCUGCCUUCUAUCAGAGCAGGCAGGGCUUGCCCUCACCCCAGCACUGAAGCCUCUUUGGCUCCGCCUUGUCCCUAGUUGGCCCCCACCAUCCUGAAUAAGAUUGAAGCGGCCCUGACCAACCAGAACCUGUCUGUGGAUGUGGUGGACCAGUGCCUCGUCUGCCUCAAGGAGGAGGGAUGAAGUAAGCACCAGCUGUGAGACUGCCCAUGGGGGAUGGAGCUGCCCAUGACAGCAGAUUUGCUGAGGAAAAGCAGGAACUGGUUCUGAAAAAGGCCAGGCUUGGCUGUGGGGAGCUGGUGAGAGUAGUGGUUUUGAGUGGCGGUUCAGACACUAGCCCUUCUGUUUCACAAUCUUGAUGAAGUACCAGUGUCUCCUGCUCCAGCUCUCCUCCUCUGUGAGGUAGGGACAGCUUCUGUCUCUAGCAACUGUUGAGGGCAAGGAAGGAUGCCCAGUAUGCUGAGAAGGUUCUUAACUGAAGUUCUGUUACUUUACUGCUUAGUUAACUUUUAAAAUUCUAAAUGAGAUAACAUGUAUUGUCUUUUUUUGUUUUGUUUCUUUGUGGUACUUGGGAUGGAUCCCAGGGCCUUGUAUAUGCUGGAAAAUUGCUCCACCACCAAGUCGUAACCCCAGCAGGUUCUUUUUUUUCCUUUUUUUUUUUUUUUUUUAGCAAAUUACUUUGUUUUCUCCUGCCUUGCUUUUAGUAAUUUUUUUAAUCAAAUUUUAAUUAAUCAGAUGCCCUACUAAUGCAAUGGUAUUCAGCAGUAAUUUGUUUUUCCUUGAAUUGAAGGACAGGUCUACCCAUUCCCUUUUUUCUUUUUGAAGUGGGUCUCACUGUGUUACCCAGA
rnacentral:lncRNA from 1 species